UGUCUGCCCGCGGGAGAGCGCCGCAAGGCCGCCGAAGGGGAAAUCGCCCGAAAUCUCUCAGGUACAAGGAACCGCGGACGGGGA
rnacentral:ncRNA from 2 species